AUUGAACGCUGGCGGCAUGCUUUACACAUGCAAGUCGAACGGUAACAGCACUUCGGUGGCUGACGAGUGGCGAACGGGUGAGUAAUACAUCGGAACGUGCCUAGUAGUGGGGGAUAACUACUCGAAAGAGUAGCUAAUACCGCAUGAGAUCUAAGGAUGAAAGCAGGGGACCUUCGGGCCUUGCGCUACUAGAGCGGCUGAUGGCAGAUUAGGUAGUUGGUGGGAUAAAAGCUUACCAAGCCGACGAUCUGUAGCUGGUCUGAGAGGACGACCAGCCACACUGGGACUGAGACACGGCCAGACUCCUACGGGAGGCAGCAGUGGGGAAUUUUGGACAAUGGGCGCAAGCCUGAUCCAGCAAUGCCGCGUGCAGGAUGAAGGCCUUCGGGUUGUAAACUGCUUUUGUACGGAACGAAAAGCCCUCUUCUAAUACAGGAGGGUCAUGACGGUACCGUAAGAAUAAGCACCGGCUAACUACGUG
rnacentral:rRNA from 1 species